UUUAUCUCUCUUUCUAUUUUGAAUGACAGACUUGCUGGGUAAAGAACUCUUGGCUGCAUAUUUUCUGAUUCAGCACACUGAAUAUAUCCUGCCACUCCUUUCUGGCCUGCCAAGUUUCUGUGGAUAGGUCUGCUGCAAAACUGAUCUGUCUUCCCUUGUGGGUUAGGGACUUUUUCUCCCUUGCUGCUUUCAUGAUUCUCUCUUUGCCUGAGUAUUUUGUGAAUUUGACUCUGAUAUGCCUUGUUGUUGGUCAGUUUUUGUUGAAUCUAAUGGGGGUCCUCUGCGCUUCCUGGAUUUUGAUGUCUGUGUCUUUCCCCAGGUUAGGAAAGUCUUCUGCUAUGAUUUACUCACAUAAGCCUUCCACCCCUAUUUCUCUCUCUUCCUCUUCUGGCACUCCUAUGAUUCUGAUGUUUCUUUUUAGUGACUCACUGAUUUCUCUAAUUCUUAAAUCGUGCUCUUUUGCCUUAAUCUCCCUCUUUUUUUCUGCUUCAUUAUUUUCUAUAAGUUUGUCCUCUAUAUCACGGAUUCUCUGUUCUGCCUCAUCCAUCCUUGCCACCGCUGCAUCCAUCCAUGAUUGCAGCUCAGUUAUAGCAUUUUUAAUUUCAUUCUAUUUUUUACUUCUUUGAUCUCUGCAGAAAGGGAUUCUAAUCUAUUUUUGACUGCAGCUAGUAUUCUUAUUAUCAUGAUUCUAAAUUCUGGUUCAGACAUCUCGCUUGUAUCUGUGUUGGUUAAAUUCCUGGCUUUCGUUUCUUCAUGCUGUUUCUUUUGGGGUGAAUUCCUUCGUUUGGUCAUUUUGAAGGGAGAAAAGGAAUUAAUGAGGUAGAAAAAUUGAAAUAAAAAAUUAAAAUUAAAAAAUAUUAAAAUUAAUAAUUUAGCACACACACACACACACACACACACACACACACAUAUCUAAUAGAUGAUGCUAGGUCCUAGGUGCGUUUUGGCCUUGGUGUUGAAAGUGGUUUGACAGAUUAGAGAAAAAGAAGGGGGGGAAAAAAAGGAAGUUUGGGAAUUGAAAAAAUGAAUACACUGAGGUAGACUAAAAUGAAAUGAUGGGAGUAAAAUAGAAUUUGAAAAAAUUUACACAAAAGUAAAGGAUAUAGUAGAAAAAAUUUAAAGAAAAAUAUUUUUCAUAAAAAUGAAAAAUAAAAAUGAAGUUUUUCUCUUUCUGCAUUCCAGAAAAAGAAAAGAAAUGAUAAAGAGAAAAAAGAAAGAAAAAAAAGAAAUUGUUUGAAAAUUUGAAAAGGUGACUGCACUGAAGUAGACUAAAAUAAAAUGAUGGAAUGAAGAUAGAAUUGGAAAAAAUUUACACAAAAUAAAAAAUAUAAUAAAAAAAUUAAAGGAAAAUAUUUUUAAUAAAAAGGGAAAAUAAAAAUGAAUUUUUUGUCUUUCUGUAUUCAAGAAAAAGAAAAGUAGUGUAAAAGAGAAGAAAAAGAAAGAAAAUUGAAUAGAUGGACCUGCUAACAGAUUGAAAUCAGACUGAAAUUACUUUGUUUUCCCCUAGACGUCAGUCUAUGUAGAGACUUAUAGUCCAUAAACUAAGCCGUCGGUGAGACAUGUGUUCUUGAAGAUCGAGGUGGGUCCAGUCGGGCGGGGCUCAGUGUGACGGCUCCGUUCUCCACUAGAUGGCGCUGCUAGCCUCCUGGGGUGGAUGGUGGCGGCGCGUGUAAGUAUGCGCGUGCGCGGGAGCGUGAAAAUGGCGUCCUCCAGCCACCCUGUCUGUUCUCCCCGAUCAGCAAUUGCGCACCUGUCCUCUGUCUUCAGCUUCUGUCCACUCCCUGCUUCACUCUCCAUGACCAAGUGCCAGGCAGUACCUCUCUCCUGAGUUUUGUCUCAGAUGCGGCUGUUUUCCCCGCCCCUUACUUCCGGUGGACUGCGGCCUUGACCUGUUCCACCCCUCUGCGGGAGGGUCUCUCUGAGCCCUGGCCGAAUGAGCAACGGCCGAAUGUCAGCUGAACCCAGGACCGCUUGUGGGACCCUCCUGCUGCCGGAGCCCCGAGACUGCAGCCAGGUGCCAGCCCGCCCCAGAAAAAGGUCGCGAGAUGGUGUAGCAGCAGCGUUUCGGGGAUUAUGGAAAAUCACAACACGCCUGGCAUCGGGCUUCACCCUCGACGACCUUGUUCCAGCACCAGUGAGUGUGGCCGUUUUCCGGGGUCUGCCGGGACCAGGUGGCUUCAACCGUCUCUACCAAAUGUCCUUCCAGCAGUGGAGCCGCUUCUCCCCGUGUGGCCCGAGCAUCUCCCGGACCCCACUCUGCUCCCGGGGAUUCGCCCUUCCCACCAGAGCACCCCCAGUUUUGUUCGUAGGAAGCUGAACUGACACCAACAAAAAACAGCCCAUUGUUUGGACUGUCUACGACACUUGGCUUUCCCGGAGGUUGGCCUCACCAACUUCCAGGGAUCCAGGAAGAAGUCACCUGUGGGAUUUAGGAAAACCCAGCCAGAUGCUGCUGCCAUGCUUUUCCUGUGUGCCUGCAGAGUCUUGUGUUUCCUCUGUUCAAUCCAGUUCGGACUCAAGUGUUCAGUCAUCAGGAGGUCUGGAUGGCAAGUUCACUGGAAGGAUGCUUUGGUGUGUUCCACGCGCUUCGAAUAGACUCAUAAAUAACUGAUGCUCAUUAAAUAUUUUGUGUCAUUGAGGCCACUGAGGUUCCUGGCAUGCUUGUUACUAAAGCCCGCUUGUUGCUUACCACACCUCUGCUGCCACAUCUGCCAAGUCCAAGGCUCAGACCUGCAGGUUGGACUAUAAGCAGCCUGUUGGGUUGGGGCUGCCAUGUCUCUCUGUGUGGCUUUGACCCAGGAGAGCAGACAACAAGCGGUGGUCAGAGCAUCAGCAAUGAAAGCUCAGAGGAGUGAGUGAUUACUGCAGCAAACUCAGAUCCUUGCCGGGCAUGGGGUGUUCUUGUCAACUCUGAGCCCUGCCCUCUGCCUGCUCUUCUUUUUCCUAACUGGCUUUCUUGCACAAGGCUCCUUGGUUCCUGUCUCAGGUGUCUUUCAGCCUCCUCUUGACUCUGUGAUUCAGGCCCUGAAGCUUCCUUAUUAGCCUUUUCUAGUCGCUGCCUGAUUCUAAAAGUUAAACAUCUUGUUACCUUAUUAUUAUUGUUUUUAAAUGCAGCCUGGCCCAUUUGGAAGAAAAAAGCUAAGACAUCUAACUUACACUCUUGGUUCUUGUAUUAUAUGGGUACCAUUAGGAAAAUCAUGUUACCGUGGACUUUUUCUAGUCCUGGAAUUCAUAUUUAAAAAAUGACUUGGCUGGUGUUAAAUGGUUAAUGAGCAUGUACAACAUGCUGGAUACAGUAUGAGGCAUUUUCAUGAAGGGUCUCCUAUCCUAAACAUCUGGAACAUCUGUAGCACGAUGAGAACCCGAAUUCAGGGCAGGCUGAACCCUGAGAACCAUGCCGUUACAUGGUCUAUUAUAACUUUAGGACACUCUGAGGCCAGCAUGGCUAGAAGUUAAUUUUUAGUUAGAUCUUUAUUAUAUAGAUGAUGAUAUUGAGAUGCAGAAAAGUAAGACGACUUGCUCAAGGUUAUAUGGAUGUUUAGUGGGAGAUUAGGGAUGGGAACUCUGUAUUCCAGCUUCCAGCUCAGUAUUUUUUCCACUAUGCAUCUUCCCUGUGGUUCUGAAUCAUCUUGGAGUAGUACAGCCCUAUCAAUGGAUGUAUUAUGUAAUACAUCCCUUUACUCAGGUGCCACAUAAUCUGUGCUUGCUUUAAAAUGUUUUAAUGUACAUGUGUUCAAUCAUAUGCAAAAGUAGAGAACAGAAAAAUAAACCUUUUUAUGAAGAA